rnacentral:rRNA from 1 species
AUGGAAAAUCUUUCAGUUUUAGUUCUUGAUCAGGAUCCGGUUUCCCUGUGGACCAUCUGCAAUACGCUUGCUAGAUUCAACUUCAAAGUUCUUCCCUUCCAAACAGGGGAAGAGGCCCUAGAUUCCCUUAAAAAGGGGUUUGCUAAAGAUGAGGAGCUUGAUUUGAUAGUAGCGGAAGUUCAUCCUGGCAAUACAGAGGUGGGCACCUUGCGGCUGUUUCACCACAUCCUGAAUGAACUUGAAGUGCCUCUCAUCACUAUGUGUGCCUAUGAUGAGGCAGCCUCUGCACGCAUGACCCUUGGAACAUGCUUCAAUGUGGUUAAGCCGUUGGAUACUGAAACCGUAAAUUUUCUGAAGAUGAGAGCACUGCAACACAGGUCUAUUAAAAAUCACAGGUCUGAAACUGAGGAUGAAGAACAAGAUGCGUUGAACGUGAAUGUCUAUUCAGAUAAUCUGGGUCGGUUCAUAUGGAGCAGUGAGCUCCAUGAAAAGUUUUUGCAGGCUGUUGAAGUGAUUGGGCUGCUACGGCAAGAAAAAUUCACCAGAACAUGA